rnacentral:rRNA from 1 species
UAGAAUUCCACGUGUAACAGUGAAAUGCGUACAGAUGUGGAGGAAUACCGGUGGCGAAGGCGGCCUUCUGGACAGUUACUGACGCUGAGAUGCGAAAGCGUGGGGAGCAAACAGGAUUAGAUACCCUGGUAGUCCACGCUGUAAACGAUGUCGAUUUGGAGUUUGUUGCCUAGAGUGAUGGGCUCCGAAGCUAACGCGAUAAAUCGACCGCCUGGGGAGUACGGCCGCAAGGUUAAAACUCAAAUGAAUUGACGGGGGCCCGCACAAGCGGUGGAGCAUGUGGUUUAAUUCGAUGCAACGCGAAGAACCUUACCUGGUCUUGACAUCCACAGAAUCUUGCAGAGAUGCGAGAGUGCCUUCGGGAACUGUGAGACAGGUGCUGCAUGGCUGUCGUCAGCUCGUGUUGUGAAAUGUUGGGUUAAGUCCCGCAACGAGCGCAACCCUUAUCCUUUGUUGCCAGCGAUUAGGUCGGGAACUCAAAGGAGACUGCCGUUGAUAAAGCGGAGGAAGGUGGGGACGACGUCAAGUCAUCAUGGCCCUUACGACCAGGGCUACACACGUGCUACAAUGGCGUAUACAAAGGGAGGCGACCUCGCGAGAGCAAGCGGACCUCAUAAAGUACGUCUAAGUCCGGAUUGGAGUCUGCAACUCCACUCCACGAAGUCGGAAUCGAUUGUAACAGUUAAUCAGAAAAC